AUUGAACGCUGGCGGCAGGCCUAACACAUGCAAGUCGAGCGGAUGAAGGGAGCUUGCUCCUGGAUUCAGCGGCGGACGGGUGAGUAAUGCCUAGGAAUCUGCCUGGUAGUGGGGGAUAACGUCCGGAAACGGGCGCUAAUACCGCAUACGUCCUGAGGGAGCAAGUGGGGGAUCUUCGGACCUCACGCUAUCAGAUGAGCCUAGGUCGGAUUAGCUAGUUGGUGGGGUAAAGGCCUACCAAGGCGACGAUCCGUAACUGGUCUGAGAGGAUGAUCAGUCACACUGGAACUGAGACACGGUCCAGACUCCUACGGGAGGCAGCAGUGGGGAAUAUUGGACAAUGGGCGAAAGCCCGAUCCAACCAUGCCGCGUGUGUGAAGAAGGUCUUCGGAUUGUAAAGCACUUUAAGUUGGGAGGAAGGGCAGUAAGUUAAUACCUUGCUGUUUUGACGUUACCAACAGAAUAAGCACCGGCUAACUUCGUG
rnacentral:rRNA from 1 species